CCAAACUGAAAUUGGAGCCUGAACCACCCAACACCCAAAAUCCCCUCCCAUCGCCGCAUCCUCUCUCCUCCCGUUCCCCAUUCCUCCUGCUCCAUCUACGGCAGAUCCCGGCCAACUCCGGCCAGCCCCCCUGCCUUGCUGGCCACCAUCCCGACACUCCCUCAUCCUCCUCUCUCGAAUCCUCCGCGAGGAACAGCCAGGCCGCAUCACCACCUCAAACCCUAGCCUCCGGCUCUACAGAGCUCAAGUUUCGACCUUUGGGUCCAUGGCGGCGACACGGCCGCAGGACGGGGUGAGGCGGUUCGGUGGCGAUCUUAACGCGCAGACCGCAAUGGAUUUCUCAGCUCCAUGCGCGUGGCGCACCUGAAUCCUCUUUUUUGCCACCCCGCUCAAACCCUAGACCCGCCGCGGCCAAAUCCUAUCACCGCCCCAACUCCGGCAACCGAGAUCAUGUUGGCCACCGUGGAAGGCCAAGGACUACUACGAAGAGGGCCACGCGCCAGGAGGACAGCGGCAACGCCCCGACAAACAUGCUGCUGCUACCCCCCGUGAGCGAGGUUCAAAUCAUAUUUGGGCACCAAGCUGCUGCUUAUGGAACCAUACCAGGAGGUGGCGGCCAGCCAGGUGAGGAGGAGGCUGACUUCAUCGGUGACAUCUGCAAGUGCCGCGGGGAGGUGCUACAGUCGCUGAUGAUCGACGGCAUCUAUUGACUUGGUCUCCGGAAAGAGAAACUCACCGACGAGGAGGUGCGCCGUUGUCGUGACAAGGAUGCUGAACUGCUGCUUGUUGCCUACACCAUCCGCGUUGAAGGCCUCCUGAAGCUCUUGCCUGUGCUCACUGAUCCGACCUGGCACAACUCCGAUGGGCUGCUGUUGCCAAUGACUUGCAGCUGGUUCAAAUCAUAUCAGAGGAUGAGAAGGAGAGACUCAAU